rnacentral:rRNA from 1 species
UACGAGGGGGGCGAGCGUUGUUCGGAAUUAUUGGGCGUAAAGGGUGCGUAGGCGGUUCCGCAAGUCCUGUGUGAAAUCUUCGGGCUCAACUCGAAGUCUGCACGGGAAACUGCGGGGCUUGAGUGUGGGAGAGGUGAGUGGAAUUCCCGGUGUAGCGGUGAAAUGCGUAGAUAUCAGGAGGAACACCGGUGGUGUAGACGGCUCUCUGGACCGUAACUGACGCUGAGACACGAAAGCGUGGGUAGCAAACAGG